UGUUUUUUUCUAAAUCUUAUAAGGCCAAAUAAGUUACGCUGAAGUUUAUUCCACCAAAGUCCCAAUUCAGCAAGUCAUUGAAGAUGAGAAGAGAAAUUACAGCAAAAGAAACAACACCAUGACCCACCAAAAUACAAAAGCAGUAUGCAAGAAGAAGAGACUGAAAAGAAUAAGCCUAUAAACCCAUGCCAA